GAUGAACGCUGACAGAAUGCUUAACACAUGCAAGUCAACCUGAAUUGGGGUUUUUAGCUUAGGUUUGGGUGGCGGACCGGGGAGUAACGCGUAAAGAACUUGCCUCACAGCUAGGGACAACAUUUGGAAACGGAUGCUAUUACCUAAUAUCAUGAUAAUACGGCAUCCUAUAAUGAUGUAAGCUAUAAGCGCUGUGAGAGAGCUUUGCGUCGCUUUAGCUAGUUGGAGAGGUAACGGCUCACCAAGGCGAUGAUGGGUAGCCGGCCUGAGAGGGUGAUCGGCCACAAGGGGACUGAGACACGGCCCGUACUCCUGCGGGAGGCAGCAGUGGGGAAUAUUGGACAAUGGACCGAGAGUCUGAUCCAGCAAUUCUGUGUGCACGAUGAAGUUUUUCGGAAUGUAAAGUGCUUUCAGUUGGGAAGAAACAAAUGACGGUACCAACAGAAGAAGUGACGGCUAAAUACGUG
rnacentral:rRNA from 1 species